rnacentral:rRNA from 3 species
CUUGCUUCUCUUGAGAGCGGCGGACGGGUGAGUAAUGCCUAGGAAUCUGCCUGGUAGUGGGGGAUAACGUUCGGAAACGGACGCUAAUACCGCAUACGUCCUACGGGAGAAAGCAGGGGACCUUCGGGCCUUGCGCUAUCAGAUGAGCCUAGGUCGGAUUAGCUAGUUGGUGAGGUAAUGGCUCACCAAGGCGACGAUCCGUAACUGGUCUGAGAGGAUGAUCAGUCACACUGGAACUGAGACACGGUCCAGACUCCUACGGGAGGCAGCAGUGGGGAAUAUUGGACAAUGGGCGAAAGCCUGAUCCAGCCAUGCCGCGUGUGUGAAGAAGGUCUUCGGAUUGUAAAGCACUUUAAGUUGGGAGGAAGGGCAGUUACCUAAUACGUGAUUGUUUUGACGUUACCGACAGAAUAAGCACCGGCUAACUCUGUGCCAGCAGCCGCGGUAAUACAGAGGGUGCAAGCGUUAAUCGGAAUUACUGGGCGUAAAGCGCGCGUAGGUGGUUAGUUAAGUUGGAUGUGAAAUCCCCGGGCUCAACCUGGGAACUGCAUUCAAAACUGACUGACUAGAGUAUGGUAGAGGGUGGUGGAAUUUCCUGUGUAGCGGUGAAAUGCGUAGAUAUAGGAAGGAACACCAGUGGCGAAGGCGACCACCUGGACUGAUACUGACACUGAGGUGCGAAAGCGUGGGGAGCAAAC